rnacentral:rRNA from 1 species
UACGUAGGGUGCGAGCGUUGUCCGGAAUUACUGGGCGUAAAGAGCUCGUAGGCGGUUUGUCGCGUCUGCUGUGAAAACCCAGGGCUCAACCCUGGGCCUGCAUUCGAUACGGGCAGACUAGAGUAUGGCAGGGGAGACUGGAAUUCCUGGUGUAGCGGUGAAAUGCGCAGAUAUCAGGAGGAACACCGGUGGCGAAGGCGGGUCUCUGGGCCAAAACUGACGCUGAGGAGCGAAAGCGUGGGGAGCGAACAGG